UACGUAGGGAGCAAGCGUUGUUCGGAUUUACUGGGCGGAAAGGGCGCGUAGGCGGCGCGGUAAGUCACUUGUGAAAUCUCUGAGCUUAACUCAGAACGGCCAAGUGAUACUGCAGUGCUAGAGUGCAGAAGGGGCAAUCGGAAUUCUUGGUGUAGCGGUGAAAUGCGUAGAUAUCAAGAGGAAAACCUGAGGUGAAGACGGGUUGCUGGGCUGACACUGACGCUGAGUGCGCGAAAGCCAGGGGAGCAAACGGG
rnacentral:rRNA from 1 species